GAUGAAGAACGUAGCGAAAUGCGAUAAGUAAUGUGAAUUGCAGAAUUCAGUGAACCAUCGAAUCUUUGAACGCACAUUGCGCCCGGCAGUAAUCUGCCGGGCAUGCCUGUCCGAGCGUCAUUUCUCCCCUCGAGCGCAGCUUUCCCCCCCGGGGGAGGGCCGCGCCCGGUGUUGGGGCGCUACGGAGGAGCCCAGCGCUCCCCCGUAGGCCCCGAAAUGUAGUGGCGGUCCCGCCGCGGCGCCCCCUGCGUAGUAGUUUUACAACUCGCAUCGGGUCCCGGCGGAGGCCAGCCGUCAAACCCCCAACUUCAAUAGUUUGACCUCGGAUCAGGUAGGGUUACCCGCUGAACUUAAGCAUAUCAAUAAGCGGAGGA
rnacentral:misc_RNA from 1 species